UACAGAGGUCCCAAGCGUUGUUCGGAUUCCCUGGGCGUAAAGGGUGCGCAGGUGGGCUGGUAAGUUCGAUGUGAAAGCCCCGGGCUUAACCCAGGAAAGGCAUUGGAUACUACUGGUCUGGAGGAUUGGAGGGGGGACUGGAAUUCUUGGUGUAGCAGUGAAAUGCGUAGAUAUCAAGAGGAACACCAGUGGCGAAGGCGAGUCCCUGGACAAUACCUGACACUGAGGCACGAAAGCCAAGGGAGCAAACAGG
rnacentral:rRNA from 1 species